rnacentral:rRNA from 1 species
CAGCAGCCGCGGUAAUACGGAGGGAGCUAGCGUUGUUCGGAAUUACUGGGCGUAAAGCGCACGUAGGCGGCUUUGUAAGUUAGAGGUGAAAGCCUGGAGCUCAACUCCAGAAUUGCCUUUAAGACUGCAUCGCUUGAAUCCGGGAGAGGUGAGUGGAAUUCCGAGUGUAGAGGUGAAAUUCGUAGAUAUUCGGAAGAACACCAGUGGCGAAGGCGGCUCACUGGACCGGCAUUGACGCUGAGGUGCGAAAGCGUGGGGAGCAAACAGGAUUAGAUACCCCAGUAGUCCCUGUCUCUUAUAC